AUCCUUCACUGUGGCUUUUCCAAAUCCCUCGAUGUCUCCUUGCCAAGUCAAACCAGAGAUGGAUUUCGAACCAAAAGCAAACUCGGUGAUGGGAUUGCAAUUGGGUGAUGGCUGGGUCAGCAUUCCAGAAGGAUUUGAGCUUGCAAUGGGGCUUAUACCCACAGAACAAGUGAGGAUUUGAUUUUCUUUUUUCAUACUUCUUUGAUUUGUACGAAUAAGAAGCUGAGAUUUCGUGUUUGCUUCCUCAUUGGUGGCACUGGGCAAGCGAAAUCGCUCCUAGAAGGCUCUCGUUCAAACUGUUCAAGGAAACACCAGUGUUGCAGUCUCACAAAACAAAGGGCUCAUAGCUUUUAUUUGAGGGAUCAAAGGGCAGAAACAAGAGUAACCGCUUUGUCAUAGUAACCAGUGUCAAAGUAUCCAGAGAACCAGAACCAUAUGGUAACCAUAGUGCCCGAGAGUAACCAUAGUAUCCGAGAGUAACAAAAGUAUUCGAAAGUAACCAUAGUACCCAGAUCAUAGUAGCCAAGAACCAUAGUAACAAGUAGCCAAAGUAACCAGUAUCCAUGAGGGAUUUCAAAGUCUCCAUAGUAUCCAGAGUAACCAGUGAUUUGAGUAACAAGUAACCAGGAACGAUCCACAAAGGAUUUGAGUAACCAGAGUAACAAGUAACCAUAGGAACCAUAGUAACCGGAUCAAUCCAGAAGGGAUUUGAGUGACCAAGUAACAAGUAACCAAGAGAACACCGGGAGGCCAUCCACAGGAGAUGAUAAAGGCAACAAGGCCUCAAGUAACCAGGUAACCAGAGAAUAACAGAACAAACCAAGAAAGGAGGACAUCGUUCGAACCUUGUGAAAGUUUGAAUUCUCUUCUUCUGUUGUCGCAGGGCCCUCUAGUCGGAUCGGGAUCCUCUCCUCGUAAUUCUCUGCUCAUACUUCCUCAUAAAUAAAUCUGAACCAUCCAAUCUUAAUAGAUGGUCAGGAUUUAUCUUACAUUCUUUAAGGUGAUUAGUCUAUCUUCUUCCCAAAUUCUCGUAUAGAUUUCUGAUCGCCGAUCUCCUCUCAUCUCUCUCUUCCCUCUCUCACCCCAACCCCAAAGCUGAUAUCUUUCGCUCCAUAAUUCCUAUUGCAUAUAGUUUUACACUUUUACUACCUCUCUGUUGUUCGAAUCGAAUCAGCAGCCGAAAGAGAAAGAAGGAUGCGUUGACGGGUCUCAAGGAUCGUCUGUUGUCGCAGCCGUCACGACAACCAGAACCGGUUAAUCAUGAGAAACCUCAAGGAACCGGUCAGGUAGAGCGACAUCCUCAUCCUGCUCGAGUAUGAGAGAGAAGCAAGAAGGUCUCGUUGAUGGGUCUUCGCUUUUGUCUCCAACGAUGGAAAAAGCAAUGUUCUUUGCAUGUUACUGG